UAAAUGAGUAUGUGCUACUUCUUUACUUUACUAGAUUGUAAAUAGGAAAAACAAGCAAAUAAAAAAUAUUUAAUAUUUGUCAUUCCUAGUCGUUGUAUCUCCUACCUAUCUACAAAGCUGAUCAUAUAUUAGAGCACUUUUAGUCAAAGCUGUUAAUAAGCAAAGAAAAGCCACAGAAUUCAUUUAUUGUAUCUCCUGCCCAAUUUUUGAAUCUUUUUAAUUUUGCUGACACAUGACAAGUUUUUUUUUGGUGAAAGUGCAUUUCCUACUUUUCCAUCUUGUUGCCACAUAGUUCAUUUGGAAGGAAAGGAAUUGCUGGACAUUCAAAGGCAUUGAACAACCUAUGGUGGUAGUGAAGUUGAUUUUUCAGCGCACUUUGUAAGAUUGGAUGGCUAGUAUGGGUGGUCAUUCCUUCUCUAGUUUGUUGGAUCUUCUUGAUUGUUCUACUUUUACAGAAUUUAUAUGCACCUCCAUUACACUGGUUCUGUUACCUUGUCUCUCUUUUCGUGUUGGUAGGCAACUCCAAGGGGUUCUUCCUUAUAAAGAUUCCAUAUGUCAGGAAGGAAAGAAAAGAUGCCCAACAGAAUUCUUAGUGCUAACGAUUGUUGCAGGGAAGAACAUGGGUUUUGGGAAGGGGCAUAAUAAGGAGUAAUGAUGCAGAGAAAGAAGUAGCUCAAUGAGAACGUGAAGCAGUUCUGAGAGACUUUAUAAGUGUCAGUCAUAAGGUACUCAAAGAGAUGCAUUAAUGAUUCCAUGGACUAGUUCUCCUUCAGAGUAUGAUUCAAGAUAUGGUACAUUCUCUUAGACCCCUCAAGAUACUGAAUGACUGAAGAAAAGAUCCUAAUUUAACUUGUCGGGUAGCAAUUUAUAGGUGAAGGGGGUUGCUUUUAGCUUAUAAUUGAACCGAUUAUGAUCAUUUGAUAUAUGGCCUGACAAAUGGAGGCUGUAUAGGGCCUGAAAUUUGCUGAGUGACUUAUCAGUUAUCAAAAAAGAAAUUUUCUGAGAGUGACCCUAAGAGCAACACGUCCUUAAGGGCUACUCAGAGAAACAUGCCUAUCUCAUCUUACUGAAUGCACAGUGCAUUUAUGAGUCAUGACUACAGAGCAUAUGGUAAUGAUGCUUCAGUAUGUGUGCUUUCUAUUUUAUGUUAUCUUCAUCCUCAGCUGGAUGACUGAAAGAAUUAUUUUAAUUGCCCAAUUAUAAGGAUUAUUUUAGGUUAAAACUCUUGACAGCAAAUUUUGCAUGCACUCGGUCAAAGUUCACAUCAUGUACAGUAUAUAUUCAGUAGCCGUUUUACAACGUUAUUAUCAUUCCUGUUUAAGACAAAUCUAAUAUUUUCUUGUCCGUUCUCUUUUCAUUUUUCCAGUCGGCUCAAGCCUACUUUGCUUUCUUGGAGAUCCUUUUCAAAUGUCAUUUGGCUUUUAUUUUAAAUUUAGAUACAAGCACAUUUAUUUGUUUUGUUGGAUCUCUUGAAGCAUGCCUUAAAGGUUUAAUUUGAAUAUCUUGAUACAGGUUUGUAUAGGGUUCUCUCUUUUUAACUUCUACAGAUUCUCGUGAUUUUUUCUUCUGUUUUUAAUAUUCUCAUGAUCAUUAUAUCUUGCAAGAAAGAUUUUUCUGUUACCUAUAAUAAUGAUUAUUAAAUAAAAUGCUGAAGGUAUCAUAGGGACCACACCUGGUCACUAGUUUUAAUCUUCCAUUCCCUCUCCCCUUGGUCCAAAACUUACUCAUCAAAAUGACUAUGAUUGUUACAUUAAUAAUUACCCUAGGAGCAUUAUGAUUUUAUCAUAAGACUAUUAUGAGAUGCAUUUCCUUUUAAUAAUUAACUCUCAAAAUGUCAUUGUAGUGCACAUCUGCAGUUGAUAAAUUGGCUAUUUUUUGUUUUAUUGAUAUUGUGGCCUCACCCAGUUCACCCGCUGCUCAGUGUCUUGCUCAACACAAUACCAAUUCUCCUGGUUUAUUCCAAGAAGUAAGUUUGCUACAUACUUGUGCUAAUAUUCUUGUGUUAGAUUCAAGUAAGCAAUGCAACUCGUAGGUUUUUUUUUUUUUAAAUAUAUUUUUUUCUCAAAUUGAGGGAGAAUGGUAUGAAAUGGUAAUUUUUGGAGCUGUGGUUGGUUUUGGUGGAUUAUGAUGAUUUGGAGUUGCGGCUGGGUUUGAUGAAGGAGAUGAAAAGUUUCUAGCGGGAGAUAGGGUGACCAUUUUUGUCGGUAAAUGGAAGAAUUUGAGCUAAACAAACGCUAGACCGGAAUUGGUGUCAAAUAGAAAAUGAAUUGAAAAGAAAAUUGUGUACAAGAUUUGAGAAGAGAAAAUGAGUAGAAAAAAUGAAAAUUGAAAAUGAAUACAAACCCAUACUGAACCAAACAGGCCCUUUGUAGCUGACUUCACUUUGGAAUCUCUUCAUUCCUGUGGGCAGGCAGUGGUGUUUAUUACCUUUUUGGGCUGUGCUCAAGAUUAGUUACAUCUGUACAGUUUUUGAAGACUGACACAGCAAACCUACUUGAUGAAUGCGCCCAAGAUUGUAGAAGGUUUCAAUCAUUUCUUCAAGAUUUGAUUCUUUCCAGUUUCCACGGGCUCUGUUCUGUCAGUCUCCACGGGCGGUCUUCGUUCUUCAUCUCGCAUGCUAG